ensembl:lncRNA
GCUGGUCGAUGUGGAAAAAAUAACUGAGUUGUUUGGUGGUGGAGCUACAACAGAGGGCAGCUAUCCACCGGUGUGUGACAGAAAGGACAUGCCGCGAACGAGACAUACAAGGCGGUGAGGCUACCGCCGAUCGUCCGGUGUUUGCUAACGCGGAGGUCAAUCGUGGAUCAGGGAAAGCGAAGGCAGGAGCGUGAGGUGAACUGAAUUUCAGGCCGAUGAUGCUGGUCGAUGUGGAAAAAAUAACUGAGUUGUUUGGUGGUGGAGCUACAACAGAGGGCAGCUAUCCACCGGUGUGUGACAGAAAGGACAUGCCGCGAACGAGACAUACAAGGCGGUGAGGCUACCGCCGAUCGUCCGGUGUUUGCUAACGCGGAGGUCAAUCGUGGAUCAGGGAAAGCGAAGGCAGGAGCGUGAGGUGAACUGAAUUUCAGCUACAACAGAGGGCAGCUAUCCACCGGUGUGUGACAGAAAGGACAUGCCGCGAACGAGACAUACAAGGCGGUGAGGCUACCGCCGAUCGACCGGUGUUUGCUAACGCGGAGGUCAAUCGUGGAUCAGGGAA